rnacentral:rRNA from 1 species
UACGUAGGGUGCGAGCGUUGUCCGGAAUUACUGGGCGUAAAGAGCUCGUAGGUGGUUUGUCGCGUUGUCCGUGAAAACUCACAACUCAAUUGUGGGCGUGCGGGCGAUACGGGCAGACUGGAGUACUGCAGGGGAGACUGGAAUUCCUGGUGUAGCGGUGGAAUGCGCAGAUAUCAGGAGGAACACCAGUGGCGAAGGCGGCUUUCUGGUCUGUAACUGACGCUGAGGCGCGAAAGCGUGGGGAGCAAACAGG